GGGGCGAUAGCUCAGCUGGUUAGAGCAGCGGACUCAUAAUCCGUCGGUCGCGGGUUCAAGUCCCGCUCGCCCCA
rnacentral:tRNA from 2 species